rnacentral:rRNA from 1 species
CCUACGGGUGGCAGCAGUGGGGAAUAUUGCGCAAUGGGCGAAAGCCUGACGCAGCGACGCCGCGUGAGGGAUGAAGGUCUUCGGAUCGUAAACCUCUGUCAGCAGGGAAGAACGGUCACUGUGCUAAUCAGCAGUGAAUUGACGGUACCUGCAAAGGAAGCACCGGCUAACUCCGUGACAGCAGCCGAGGUAAUACGGAGGGGGCGAGCGUUAGUCGGAAUUACUGGGCGUAAAGCGAGCGUAGGCGGUAUGUCAAGUCAAGGGUGAAAUCCCCGCGCUCAACGUGGGAACUGCCUUUGAAACUGGCAAACUGGAGUGUGUGAGAGGUUAGUGGAAUUCCAGGUGUAGGGGUGAAAUCCGUAGAUAUCUGGAGGAACAUCAGUGGCGAAGGCGACUAUCUGGCACAUAACUGACGCUGAGGAGCGAAAGCGUGGGUAGCAAACAGGAUUAGAUACCCUGGUAGUC